CUUCCUUUGCUCCGUUGGAUACUCUGAAAACAUUGAAAUUUUUGUAAGAGACGGUACAAAGGUGAAUUGUGAUUCGCAGAAGAUGAAACCAGGCGAUCUGAAUUACCCAUCAUUCUCAGUGGUAUUCAACGCCGACAGUGCUGUAAUUAAACGCGGCAGGGUGGUGAAACACAAGAGGGUGGUUAGAAACGUUGGCAGUUCGAAGAAUGCAGUGUACUCGGUGAAGGUGAAUCCUCCGCCAUCCGUUAAAAUCAAUGUUUCACCGAGUAAGCUUGUGUUCACUGAAAAGAAUCAAGUGGCAUCGUAUGAGGUUACGUUCACUAGCGUUGGAGCUUCUCUCAUGACGGAGUUUGGGUCUAUAGAAUGGACCGAUGGGUCCCAUAGGGUGAGGAGCCCAGUGGCCGUCAGGUGGCAUAACGAUUUAGUGGCUUCGAUGUGAUUUUGAUAUUUGGAUUGGUAAUUUAAGGGUGUGACUUGUGAAUUUUUCUUCUUUCUCUUGAAAUGUUAGAUGUGAUCAAUCUUCUCAUGUAAGAAGCCUAUGCCAUACUUCAAAAGCUUCUUUUCAAUGUUCGAUAGCUUAAGGAAAGACCAUUAUGACCUAUAAAAUAUUUGGCUUUCAUAGAAUUGCAUACUUCUAGAAUUAAUUUUAUUUCAUUAAAAAAAUUAAUUUCACUCCAAUACUUUAUAUAAAUUAAUUUGAAGAAAUAAAACUGAUAAAAACUUUAUCCUUAACUUACUUUUAUCCUUGGGCAUGCUUACACGUGAAUAGAUAUUUGUAAUUUAAUUUCAAUUUUCUAUCCACCAAUUAAAUUAUAUCUUAAUCUCAUCAAAUAAUCAUCUUAAAAAUGGUGUACAAGAAAAUUGAAAUUAACAAUUAAUUUUAUUUAUUAUGUUUCAAAUGUCUUUGCUUCCCAACAUGUAUGUCUACAUAGUAAGAAACUAAACUGCAAGUGCCAUUCCCCCUAAGGCUAUCGAUCAUCAUAGUCCUUCUCCCCAUUGCCUUUUUUUUUUUUUUAAUUUGGGUCCAUUAAAGCUUAUUGUGCAAUCUUUUAGUUCUUGAGAAAUGGGAUCGAGUGAAUUAGUUACAAGAUUAAACAUUAAGGUGAUGUUUGUUUUUUAGGUGAAUAAAAAAAGUCAAAAUAUUUGAUAUUUUCUAUUCAAUUAAAAGUAAUUCAUUGACAAUAAUCGACAUAAUUAAACUAAAAUUAUUGAUAACAAGUUCACUUUAAUUAUAUUGGUUAAUAUCAACAAUGUCGUUUUAGCUUAAUAGAAAAAGUAAAAUAUUUUGGUUUUUUCUAUUCAGUAAAAAAACAAAUACCAUAUAAAGUUAUGUUUAAUUCCAAAAAAUUAAAGAAAAAUAUGAAGAAAAAAAAAGUAAAUUUAAAAUCAAUAAACUACUUUAAUAUGUUACUCCAAAUUUAUUUCAUUUAUUUUAACAUUUUUUUUGCAAAAAUUAAAUAAUUUAAAAAUAUAUAAAAUUUUCACUCAUUAUAAUUAUAUUUGAUUUUUGUUUACAUUUUUUAUAAUACAAUCAUAUAUGAGAAGAAUAUUUUUUUUUUAAUAAUUUUUUUUUAAAAAAAAUUGAGAACCAAAUAUAACCUAAAAUAUAUUUCAUCAUUAAAUUAUUUUUAUAUAUUAUAUCAAAUCCAUUUAGCUUAUUUCAACUUUUCUCUAUAAAGAUUCAAACAAAACAUGGUGUAACUGUGUAAGGAGCAACAAUAAUUGAAGGUAAACCUUUUUAUUAUAUCAUAUUUUUCAUACCUUACUUUUGUUUCCCCCUACCUUCUUGUUACCUUCCCUAAUCACUAUCCCACACAUGGAGAGAAUCCCACCACGCCAAUCAACAAGGUGCCAUUAUCAUUCUUGUCGUUUCUCCAUAAACAGCCAUAAUUUAGCUUCAUGGAAGGGAAAGUGACCCACCGGCCUUAUCUCUCUCAUUACCAUAUCACAAACCUCCAAUAAAAUUGAGAUUUGUAUCUCUUUUUUUAAAUCAUAUAUUUUUUUUAAGUUACUACAAAAAUACAAAAUAUAAUAGAAAUAAAAUAAGUAUAAAUUGUUUUUAUAUCUCACCAUUAUAGUUAUAAAAGGAAGAGAAAAAAAAAAAGGAAGCAUAAAGCGGCAAUGGCAUUCCAAGGUAAAUAAACUCAAUCCCUUUUGUGGGGGCUAAAAACUCCAUACCUUUCGUUGCAUUUGAAGUUCCGAUUUCUAAGGAGACUGAGUGAGAAUCGUCCAUGGGGAUUCCUUCUUCCCUUUUCUCCCUCAUUCUCUGCCUCUCUCUUGUCUCUGCAACUUUAUCGUUGGACGAAUCACAGACGUUCGUCGUCCACGUGUCUAAAUCUCAUAAGCCAUCCGCUUACGCCACCCACCACCACUGGUACUCCUCCAUCGUCCGGUCACUCGCCUCCUCAGGGCAGCCCUCCAAGAUUCUUUACAGCUACGAGCGAGCUGCCAAUGGCUUCUCCGCUAGGCUUACUGCCGCUCAGGCGUCGGAGCUCCGUCGCGUCCCCGGUGUGCUUUCGGUAUUGCCGGACCGGGCACACCAGAUUCAC
rnacentral:lncRNA from 1 species